UCACAUCCAUAGGCUGCCUGGCCCCCAGGCUGGGUUGGGUGAGUAUCUCUUCAAAAGGCUCUCCCUCAAGCACAACCAGGAGC
rnacentral:pre_miRNA from 1 species